rnacentral:pre_miRNA from 1 species
CGGUGGUUUUAUUACGGUGGUUGCGAUUUUUACAAUCACCGGGUAGAAAUCAUCUCA